AAGCGAAACGGGGGCUCGCCCCCGUCUGCCCAGCGUGGUGGCUGGGCACUGAUGAGCAGCCAUUC
rnacentral:hammerhead_ribozyme from 1 species